AAGAUUUUAAUGAUCGAACAGAUCAAAAUUUUAAACUUCUACAUUUAAAUUUUAUCUUAAUCCAACAUCGAGGUCGCAAACUUUUUUUUUUAUUUGAACUAAAAAAAAAUAUUACG
rnacentral:rRNA from 1 species